GACUACAUUGUUUAUUGCUAUUCUUUUGAUAAGACUGUCCUUUCUACCUUACCUAGCUUUUUCCUUUAUUUUCAUUUCAUUCGGCUAAUGCCAACUCACUUUUAAUGCUUAUGUCAUGUAUAGUCCUCCUCAGGAAAACUGUACUUACACCCAUAACCAUUACUCUAAUCACCAACUGUAUUGUGUCUGACUCACUGUUCUAUUAGUACGGGAUACUUAUCUCUAUCAUGGGAGUAAUGAUACCAAUUUAUAAUACAUUUAUUCCUCUACAUUCCACUUGAGAGAAGGAAAUGUUUACUAAUCCUAAAAUUAAUUUUUGUUGACUAAACAAUAGGUGAAUUAAUGAAAAAAUGCUGAUAAUAUUAUGGAAUCUGAGAGAAAAUAUUUCAAAAGGAUCUCUCAUCUCCGCACACGAGAAGAAAAAACCCACGGAACCAGUAGGGCUGGACCCUACACGGAUGUGUAUAAUUAAAAAGAAGAGACAAGCUCUGGAGACAAUGUGGAGUAAUUGGAACCCUCAAGUGCUGAUGGUAGGAUUAUAAAAUGUUCCAGCCAUUUGGGAAAAGAAUUUGCCAGUUAUCAACAUGUUAAACACAGAAUCUCUUCCUAGGUAUAUAUUCAAGAGAAAGAAAAGCAUAUAUGCACCAAAAAAUUAAAAAAAAAAACACUUUUACAUGGAUGCUUAUAUAUGAUUCAUAGUAGCCAAAAAUAGAAGCCACCCGAAUAUCCAUCAACUGAUAAAUGGAUUUGCCAAAUGUCAUAUAUUCAUAAAUGGAAUAUUAUUCCAAAAGAAGAACAGAGUAUUAAUACAAGAUGCAUCAUGGAUGAACCCUGAAAACAUUAUGCUAAAUAAAAGAAGCCAGUCAUAAAAGAUUGUAUUAUGAUUCGAUUUACAUAAAAUCUCCAGAAUAAGCAAAUCUAUAUAUGUAGAGAGAAAGCAGAUUAAUGAUUGCCUAUGAUUUCAGGCAAUUGAUUAGUCAAUUGAUUACUAUAGGCAAUGGUUGUCUAUGACCAUACAAGUAGUUGCAUGUGGUAAGGAAAGGUCAAUGAUAAAGAGUUACUGCUAAUGAAUAUGUAGUUUUUUGUUUUUGUUUUUUGAGUGUUGAAAAUGUUCUAGAAUUAGAAUGUGGGGAUGAUAUUACAACUCUGUGAAAAUAUUUUUAAAAACAUUGACAUGUACACUUUAAAUAGAUAAAUUAUAUGCUAUAUGAAUUCUUUAUCAAUAAAUAGGUUUAAAAAGUUCCUAAUGGGAAAAUAUAAUAUUCAUUCAAAUAUUUAUAGCCACAUGCAAAAUACAUUACCU
rnacentral:lncRNA from 1 species